rnacentral:rRNA from 1 species
UCCAGAGGGUGCGAUCGUUAAUCGGAAUUACUGGGCGUAAAGCGUGCGUAGACGGUCAUGUAAGUCGGGUGUGAAAUCCCCGGGCUCAACCUGGGAAUUGCAUUCGAGACUGCGUGGCUAGGGUGCGGAAGAGGGAAGCGGAAUUUCCGGUGUAGCGGUGAAAUGCGUAGAUAUCGGAAGGAACAUCAGUGGCGAAAGCGGCUUCCUGGUCCAGCACCGACGUUCAGGCACGAAAGCGUGGGGAGAAAACAGG